rnacentral:miRNA from 1 species
GCAGGCUGUGAGUGAGUGGAACUGGACAGGCGACUAGCAUCAGUCACCCUGACCGGCCUAUCUCCUCAG